rnacentral:rRNA from 1 species
UACGUAGGGUGCAAGCGUUGUCCGGAAUUAUUGGGCGUAAAGAGCUUGUAGGCGGUUUGUCGCGUCUGCUGUGAAAUUUCGGGGCUCAACCCCGAACUUGCAGUGGGUACGGGCAGACUAGAGUGUGGUAGGGGAGACUGGAAUUCCUGGUGUAGCGGUGAAAUGCGCAGAUAUCAGGAGGAACACCGAUGGCGAAGGCAGGUCUCUGGGCCAUAACUGACGUGGAGAAGCGAAAGCAUGGGGGAGCGAAACAGG